rnacentral:rRNA from 1 species
UACGUAGGGGGCAAGCGUUGUCCGGAAUCAUUGGGCGUAAAGAGCGCGUAGGCGGUCCGGUAAGUCCGCUGUGAAAGUCGGGGGCUCAACCCUCGGAUGCCGGUGGAUACUGUCGGGCUCGAGUGCGGAAGAGGCGAGUGGAAUUCCUGGUGUAGCGGUGAAAUGCGCAGAUAUCAGGAGGAACACCAAUUGCGAAGGCAGCUCGCUGGGACGUUACUGACGCUGAGACGCGAAAGCGUGGGGAGCAAACAGG